rnacentral:tRNA from 1 species
GCCGCCAUCGUCUAGUCUGGUCUAGGACAUCAGGUUUUCAUCCUGAAGAUCGGGGGUUCAAAUCCCCCUGGCGGCA